rnacentral:rRNA from 1 species
UACGAAGGUGGCAAGCGUUACUCGGAAUUACUUGGCGUAAAGGGCAGGUAGGUGGUUCGAUAAGUCUGUUGUGAAAGCUCCCGGCUCAACUGGGAGAGGCCAACAGAAACUAUCAGACUAGAGUAUGGGAGAGGGUACUGGAAUUCCCGGUGUAGCGGUGAAAUGCGCAGAGAUCGGGAGGAACACCAAUGGCGAAAGCAGGUACCUGGACCAUUACUGACACUCAACUGCGAAAGCUAGGGGAGCAAACAGG